UGCAGUAAUUCACAACUAAGAAUAGAUUAUCAUAGUCUUUGUUCCCAUUGGUAUACUGUAGAGUGUUAUCGCCAGACAUACGCACCGCUUUUCCAUCCAGUUCCAGACAGGCGCUACUGGCCACGACCCAUGGGCCCACCAAUUGUACCGCCUCCAGUUAGAAGAAAGAAAGGUCGACCACGAUCAACACGUAUUCGUAAUAUAAUGGACGCAACCAGUGGUCGACGAACAAAAUGCAGCAUUUGUAAGCAGCACGGUCAUUAUAGAAAUACCUGUCCACAGAAUACAGAGAGAGCACAACAAGGACGUCGACAUGGCAGAUCUAGAGGAGGCGGGACCGGUUGAUGAGUCCGUCCUGACAGAGCAGCAUCUACAUAGGUCUUCAUUUAUCACGACUGAGGGAUAUCGCGGCGUUCAGUUCGUAGAGCAUGGCCGCAAAUUGAACCAGUGGGAUAUGGAUCAUCCAGCGGUGCUAGAUCUGCUACGACAGUCUGGAUUCUACGACAU